GUGCCAGCAGCCGCGGUAAUACGUAGGUGGCAAGCGUUGUCCGGAUUUAUUGGGCGUAAAGCGAACGCAGGCGGGAAGAUAAGUCAGCUGUGAAAGCCCUCGGCUCAACCGGGGAACGGCAACUGAAACUAUUUUUCUUGAGUGCAGAAGAGGAGAGUGGAACUCCAUGUGUAGCGGUGGAAUGCGUAGAUAUAUGGAAGAACACCAGUGGCGAAGGCAGGUCUCUGGGCUGUUACUGACGCUGAGGAGCGAAAGCGUGGGGAGCGAACAGGGAUUAGAUACCCUGGUAGUCCACGCCGUAAACGGUGGAUGCUGGAUGUGGGGCCCGUUCCGCGGGUUCUGUGUCGGAGCUAACGCGUUAAGCAUCCCGCCUGGGGAGUACGGCCGCAAGGCUAAAACUCAAAGAAAUUGACGGGGGCCCGCACAAGCGGCGGAGCAUGCGGAUUAA
rnacentral:rRNA from 1 species